rnacentral:rRNA from 1 species
CCUACGGGAGACAGCAGUGGGGAAUAUUGCACAAUGGGGGAAACCCUGAUGCAGCGACGCCGCGUGAGUGAAGAAGUAUUUCGGUAUGUAAAGCUCUAUCAGCAGGGAAGAAGAAAGACGGUACCUGACUAAGAAGUCCCGGCUAACUACGUGCCAGCAGCCGCGGUAAUACGUAGGGGGCAAGCGUGAUCCGGAUUUACUGGGUGUAAAGGGAGCGUAGACGGCUUUGCAAGUCUGAAGUGAAAGCCCAGGGCUCAACCCUGGGACUGCUUUGGAAACUGUGGCUCUGGAGUGCUGGAGAGGUAAGUGGAAUUCCUAGUGUAGCGGUGAAAUGCGUAGAUAUUAGGAAGAACACCAGUGGCGAAGGCAGCUUACUGGACAGUAACUGACGUUGAGGCUCGAAAGCGUGGGUAGCAAACAGGAUUAGAUACCCGGGUAGUC